AUCCAUGAGCGAUUGUCGGCUAGUAGUUCUAUUAUAUCGAUGGUCAGUCGUUCGCUGUCGAUCAGUAGUAAUUGAAUCAUUAGUCGGUCAGCUGACAAUAGGUCGGUGCGGUUCGUUCAGUUUGUUGAUGGAGAGUCGAAAUCGUAUAUUCAGUCGAUGUAGAGUCGGAGUUGUAUGUCUGGUCGGUCGACUGUUGUUGAGUCAAAGUCGGU
rnacentral:lncRNA from 1 species